GACGGAGGAUGCAAGUGUUAUCCGGAAUCACUGGGCGUAAAGCGUCUGUAGGUGGUCAAAUAAGUCAACUGUUAAAUCUUGAGGCUCAACCUCAAAAAUCGCAGUCGAAACUAUUAGACUAGAGUAUAGUAGGGGUAAAGGGGAAAUUUCCAGUGGAGCGGUGAAAUGCGUAGAGAUUGGAAAGAACACCGAUGGCGAAGGCACUUUACUGGGCUAUUACUAAACACUCAGAGACGAAAAGCUAGGGUAGCAAAUAGGG
rnacentral:rRNA from 1 species